UACGUAGGCAGCAAGCGUUGUUCGGAGUUACUGGACGUAAAGGGUGCGUAGGCGGUCCUAUAAGUAUGGUGUGAAAUCUCCCGGCUUAACUGGGAGGGUGCAGCGGAAACUAGAAUGCUAGAGGGUGGGAGAGGUAAGCGGAAUUCCUGGUGUAGCGGUGAAAUGCGUAGAUAUCAGGAGGAACACCUGUGGUGUAGACAGCUUACUGGACCACUUCUGACGCUGAGACACGAAAGCGUGGGUAGCAAACAGG
rnacentral:rRNA from 1 species